rnacentral:rRNA from 1 species
GAGUUUGAUCCUGGCUCAGAUUGAACGCUGGCGGAAUGCUUUACACAUGCAAGUCGAGCGGCAGCGCGGGGCAACCUGGCGGCGAGCGGCGAACGGGUGAGUAAUGCAUCGGAACAUGUCCUGUCGUGGGGGAUAGCCCGGCGAAAGCCGGAUUAAUACCGCAUACGUCCGAGAGGAGAAAGUGGGGGACCGCAAGGCCUCACGCGAUUGGGUUGGCCGAUGUCCGAUUAGCUAGUUGGUGGGGUAAAGGCUCACCAAGGCGAUGAUCGGUAGCUGGUCUGAGAGGAUGAUCAGCCACACUGGGACUGAGACACGGCCCAGACUCCUACGGGAGGCAGCAGUGGGGAAUUUUGGACAAUGGGGGCAACCCUGAUCCAGCCAUUCCGCGUGAGUGAAGAAGGCCUUCGGUUGUAAG